AAAAUGGAACACAAGGUAGGAGCCAAUCAUGGGAAGCCAUCCAAAAACUUUUACCUCAGAGGAAACGCCCGAGCUGCGAAGAUACUUAAAAGUCAUGAACUAGUGCUCCAAAGUUCAGCAAGUUAUACAAGGACUUAACAAAAGACACACCUUCCUUGCUACUUCCCCAUAAAAUAGGAUUGUCCAUAGGUAGGGGGCUUAAUAACUUGCAACAGCUGAAACAAACGGAUAUAAUUCGAAAAACAGACACCAAUAUUCCUUCUAAAACUUAUAUAUCCCAAUGAAAAGAACCUUCAGUCUGUAGCAUCAGAGAACAUAGCAAAAUCAAAUAAAUAAGGAAAACAAACUGCUAACUAAUGACCCAAUAAUAAACCAAGGGAAUGAAACACCACAGGGAAAUGCCUUUUUAACCCUCAUAAUCCCAUUCCAGAAAGCAUAACCAUUAACCGUAUAAGAACAAAUCCUAGAGUAACUUUUCCAGGAUAAUAAGAAAAGAUCAUCAUCUUCUACCACAGAAUAUAACAAUUAGACAAUUAUUUCUACUGUCAUUUUCCUAACAAAGUAAUAUUAACAUAUCUCAAAUGCUUAAUCCCCAAUCCACCCUGGAUCCUAGCCUUAGAAACAACCUUCCAAAUGACUAAACAGAAGCCCCCAUUAAGUUCUUUGAUCCCUUUCCUAAAGAAAUAACUUCUAAUAACAUAAAUUUUAUUCGAUAACCCGAACCGGUACUGAGAAUAUGGAAAAAGUAGCAUUAAGGUAGUGCUGCUAGUACAGAGUUAAUCAAAAUCAGCCGACCUCCAAUUGAAAGUCUGACCCUUCCCCCCAACAAGUCUCCUUUCCACCUUAUCAAUCACCGGUAUCCAAUCAUUUUUAUGAAGAUUAUUCAGCCUCAAAGGCGAUCCUUAAUAUUUUUCAAAGGAAAUCUUUCCACAUUGCACCCCAUCAACGAAGCACAUUUCAUCUCCAACUCCUUAUCAAAGCCCAUCAGAACAAAGGAUGGAAUAAAGGAUGUGUCA
rnacentral:lncRNA from 1 species